UGGAUUUCUUGUUUUGAUUUUUUUUUAUUCAUUUCUAUUGGACGCCAUCCAAAAAUACUAGAAGAAUGACAUUUAGUCUCUUAGCCACAUUCAAAGGUGUUUAGUGUAAAUUUCUGGGAGUAAGAUCAAUGUCAGAACCAACCAACACAGAUAGUAGCAUUGUGAAUAAGCUGAAAACAUGACACUCGGGGUUUUGAAAAUAUUUUUUCCUGCAACAGAGACAUGUAAUUGCUAUAUGUACAUACUACUCCUUUCUGAUGUCAGUAGCUGUUGCUUUGAGAUGCCAAAAUUUGUCCGCAUUUUCUAGCUGAAAAAUAAAGAAUGGAAACCCAAUGCUGUUUGAUGUGAGUAGGUGCAAUUUGUACUAGAAAAAGCUCGAAGUUAUGAGAUUGGUAGGUAAGGGCCAGGUACUCAUGUUCAGAUGCUCAGCUCCAUGCUAAACAAAAGCUUCAAGUUUUCAAAAAAACAAAACAAAACAAACAACAACAAACCAACAAAAAAGAAAAAAAAAACAGUCUUAUCUAUUUAGGCUAACUCCUAAAAACAAAAUUUUAAACAGCAAAUUUCAGCUUAUUCUUCAAUAUAUGAGAAUUGCUCUGAAGGUAAUGACUCCUAUCUUAUGAUGUUGGCCCACAAUGGAAAAAAAAAAAAAAAAAAAAAAAAGGCAUCCACUGACAUUUGCUGAUGCUUACUGAAUGUUUAUGGUGGCCAAACAAUGGUGGUGCGGUGGUGCAUUUUAGCAGUGGCAACAGCAACAUGAAAGAUAAGCCACGUUCCAGUUACAUGGAUUUUCACAAGCACAGCAUCCAGACUCUUGUUCAUUACUGGCAAAAAUGCAUAGCUUACAGCGGUAUCUAUUUUGAGAAAUAGUGUUUUAUAGCUGAGAAUUUUCUCUACUGAAUAGUUUUACUGUGCUCUUUGUAUCUGUUGUAGUUUCCAUGGAAAUAAAUAGGAGGCAUUACUUGUGGAGUGUCCUACGUACAUACACCAUUUAAAUUAGAAAUACAGAAAAAAAAACCAACAGGUAAUUCAGUUUCAGGAUAACCACACUUUGCCAGUGUGGUUAUUACAAUUCAGAAAUAAUUGUGCUUGCUUUUGUCUGCCCCUUCACCCCUUUCAGCUGUGUCUUCUAUGACCACUCAAUUUGAAAAUGCUACAUUCUGGUACAUUAUCUGAGGAACAAAAAUACUUUAUCUGGGCUUACUGCUUUUAUUCAACACCCAGAACAAUCUAUGUCUAUUCCUUUAAGCUCCUUGGGAUGUGAAAAAAUAUGGUUACAUAAAUCUUUGUAAUCCUGAGGGGAGGAUAGCAUAUAAAGAGUUUACUGGCGUUAGGAUUAAGUCUAGUGUAUUACAAUGCAAUCUUUAAUCUGCUAAAAUCUACCUUGGUGUUGCAAGCUGUUUUGUGCUUGUAGAUGAAGUUUUGGAAAUAGGACACAGCUGGCAACACUGAUAGAACACCUUAAAAAAGGAAGAAAAGAAAGAAAAAAGACAAAAUCGGUGAAUCUACUAAUGAACAGAUUUGCCACUGCUCCUUGUACAGUGGGCUCUUAUGAGUCUAAAAAAUGACAGAUGAUGGAGGAAAUCCUUGUAACUGAAACUAGGAAGAAACAGUCACUAAAGUUGAAAACACCGCCAUAGUCACCACAGAAAAUCACAAAUGUGAAGCAAAACCCAUGUAACAUUGCCGUGCAAGCUGCAAGAGUCUUACUUGGUUUUGAGAUUCAUCAAUCCAAAUGAAUGUAACAAAUGAGUCUUAGGUACCUAAGAAAAAUGAAAAAUUCCUCAUGCUGAAAGAGACUUUGUUCUCUUUUGAUAAAUCUGUAUGAAAUGAUAACAUUGCUGCAGUCAUGUGCUACUUCAGAGAAAAAAAAUGGGGAAAAUGGCUAUUUUUAGGCAUUUUUCUAAAGAACACCACAGUUCUACUAUUUGAACUUGUCUAUUCCCAGUCAAACAUUUUCCUGUCAAGCUACACAUUACUUCUUCUGAGUUUAAAGAUUCAAAACCAAUGUAGAUCAGCAAUUAAUGCAUAGGCCUAACUGGGAGAGAGGCUGGGGCACAGGUUUCUAGCUCUGCAGCCUUGGCUAAAGCAUUUUUUGGGCACAGCUAUGUGCUCAGGAAAGAAAACAAAAUAUAAAGAUUUGCUUAAGAGCUACUGUGACCUAUGACAGUUAAAUAUCAGAUUAAAUGAAAAUCUAAUUAGGGCCUUAGGUAUUAAAUACAGUUGACCAAGGGAAGCCAAUUGAUGUUGUCUAUUUUGGACCUGCGUAAAGCUUCAGAUACUCUUUCUCUCAGUAUCCUUCUGGUCAAAAUGUCCAGCACACAGCUAGACAAAAAAACAUAAAGCAAUGGAUGAGCAACUGGCUGAUGGUAUGGGUUGAAGAGUUAUGUAUAAUAAGCUACAGUAAAUGGGUUUACAUCAGGCUAGCCAGCCACUAGUGGGGUUCCUCAGGGCUCCAUUAUAGGGCCACUUCGCUUUAAUGUUUCCAUAAAUGACUUGGAUGUAGGACUAGAAGGUGUUUUGAGCAAGUUUGCUGGUGACACUAAAUUGAGAGGAGCUGCUCACUCCAUCACAGGUGGCAAGGCCUUGCAGAGAGGUCUAGACAAAUGAGAGAGCUGUGCAGCCACCAACUGCAUGAAGAGCAAGUGCCAGAUUCUGCACUUGGGAAGGGGCAAACCUGGCUAUACAUACAAACUGGGGGAUGAGAUGGUGAAGAGCAGACCAGCUGAAAUCUGUUCUGGUCAUGGUUGACAGCAAGUUUAGCAUCAGUCAGCAGUGUGCCCAGGUGGACAGGAAGGCCAAUUGUAUCCUGGGAUGCAUCAAGCAUGGUCAAGGGAAUGGAUUGCCCCACUCUACAUGGCCCUGGUGCAGCCUCACCUUGAAUACUGGGUGCAGUUUGAGGCACUACACCACAAAAAGGACAUAAAACUAAUAAAAAGUACCCAAAGGAGGGCUAAAAAUAUGGUGACAAGUCUAGAUGGGAAGAGAUAUGAGGAGCAGCUGAAGUCCCCCGGUUUGUUCAGCCCAGAGUAGAGAAUGAGGAGAAACCUCAUUGCAGCCUAUUGCUUCCUCACAAGGGGGAAUGGAAGAGCAGGUGCUAAUCUCUGCUCUCUGGUGACAGGAACAGGACCAGAGGGAGUAGCACGGAGCUACAUCAGGGAAAGGUCAGAUUGAUUGUCAAGAAAAUGUUCUUCAACAAGAGGUUAACAGGCACUGGAAAAGGCUCCCCAUGGAAGUGUAAUGACAUUGAGUUUGCCAGAGUUCAGUAAGCAUCUGGAAAAUGCUCUCAGUCCUAUGAUCUGAUUUUUGGGUAGUCCUCUGUGAAUCCAGGGGUUGGACUCAAUGAUCAUUAUGGGUCUCUUCCAACUUGGGAUAUUCUGUGAUUCUAUACUGUAUCUGAAAAAAAGAGAGUUCAUGUGGGCCUUUUCCAUAGCUGAGAGCCCUAUAGGAACCUCACAUAGUGCAUCAAAAAAUAAAUAAUUAAGGUUUUCCCUUAAGCUCUUAAGUGAUAUUCAAAUUCUGAAACUGAAAACUACUGUUUCGAACAAUUCAAAGUCUGAACAAAUUAUUAGACAUCAGCAUAAAAUUCUGUACUUUCCUGGAAUGCUGCCAGGGUGUUGAGUUUUUUUUUUACUUUUCGUUUUGUUUAAUGGAGAUGCAUAUUUUUCUACAGCUAGGGUUGUUCCAUCUGCCCUUGUCAAGCUUUAAAUAUACUAGAGCUCGUUAGAGCUAAAUAUAAGCCUUAAUACACAGACUUAUGUUUAUCUUAUAAAAUUAUGCAAAUUAUCCUGCACAUAAACUGAUAUUGAUCAGUAUUUCUGUUAGAUAAGUUAAGCUUUAAGCAAAAUAGUUCCAGUCUUAGAAGGAAGCCUUAGCAGAAAGGAGUCAUGAGACUUCAGAAUCUACAAGAUUGUAAAGUAGUAGCUUUUCCUUCUUAUUUACUAGUUUGCAUUUCCAAAGCACUACACAAUCGUGAACAAAUUAAUCUAAGGCAUUACAGUGAAUUUUACAGAUAAGGACAUUAAAAGCCUUUAGUAAAUGUUUAAUUGAAAUAACUGCCAUACGUUAAUUCCAAGAAACUUGUUUCAGUAUCAGAAAGAUUUAGCAAACAUCUAGUGAGAGUGAACUCAAUAUGCCCCAGUGCAGAGAAUCUCACGUGCACUACCCUUCUCCCUCAGCUAGAAAGAACUGCUUUGAAAUGACAUCUUAAGAGUAAAUGAGGAGCACACUAAGAAUGGAAAGAAAUUAAUAAUACACAAGCCUAUGGAAUAGACAGAGCAUGUGCAGAAACCAUAUUCUUUAUGGCUGCCCCUUAGGCAACAGCACAGCUUUGCAUGGAGAAAAAGCUUUCACUUGGUCCUCACAGUAGUUCUGAAUCUAACUUCCAAAUCAAAGGAUUUGUACUCCUUUAAGCAAGAGUGACUGUCACCCCCUCCAGAAUGGUAAGUUAAUUCUAAUCACUCAGUAAAAUCUGGCAGAGGAUAGCCUGUGGUGAACUCAAAGGUUUUCUCACAGAACUGUGUUUUAAUGUAAAGCAUCACCGCUUCUGCAUUCUGUCAUCUGCCAAUGGGAAUCCAAUUGCUUCAGGAUCCCUACUAAACACCACUGUCAUAAAAUAAACUUUUAUAUUAAACUUCUGUUCCUGUGCAGUCAUUUUUGAACAAAGUGUCUGGCAUUUAACCAAUUGGUCUUUUCCUGGGUAAAGGUCAUAGAGAAAGAAGGAGGAUGUGAUCCUUCACAUCCAAUUAUCCACAUCUCGAGACAUGUUAUACUGGAAGAUUUUUGCCACAUCUCAUCUAUUAGGAUAACCCUUUCCCUAGCACAAUACCAAACUGUUGUGUUUCUGGAACUGAUAUCCAAUAGUGAUUUCAGUAGAAAAGAGUGGAUGGAAAAAAAAUUAAAUCUACUAGGAAAAAUAGGUCUUCACAUUUCACAAUAACAUGCAUAUUGCUUAUUAGCAGGCAUUUAGGUCAUAUAUGCACAGAGAGUCUAGCAGUCCAGCCGUGUGACUAUCCAGCCAGAAGCACACCAUCAGUUGGGUGGGCAGACCCAAGAACGCUUGCACAUCCUCUGUCAGCCUGGUUUGUUUCCAUAGAUGACUUUUUAAGAAAUGUCUCUUAACUGAUACUUUUGGCUUCCUAUGCAUGACAAGGUUAUGUUUGAUAAGUGCAUAAAUACACUAUGGUAUUUUAGAUUUCUUGCUUACCCAGUUUUGGGGGACAAAAGAUCUCUGAGUAAAAAAGAAUCUGGGAUAUUUUGAGAAUAUUCUCCAAGGGGGAGAAAAAGGAAGGCAGGUGGCAGAGUGAGAGCUAGGAAGGAGAGAGCAGAAGGGUGAAUAAUAUUAUAUUACUAAUGAAUGAUGGCCUGCUGGUGUGAACUUGAAGUGUUUUAAGAUCCACCCCAUCAAAGCUGAGAUUACCUGAAAAAUAUUUUCCUGAAUCUCUAAAAUAUUCUCAAAGUUUUGUAUUUGCCUCUCAUUCUUCAGGGUAACAUCCUCAAUUUUGGAUUAAAAGUAAAGUAUUUAAUCCUGGAACUGUUGUUUAUUCAGGCAACAAGCUGAAUUUCAUUCUUAUAUUGGUUCUUCUUAAAUAAACAUAGAUGUAUACCUGGAAUACUGAAGAUAUAUCUUGCAAAACAAUGAAUGAUAAUAAACAAUGAUAUGCUAUGAUGAUAAACAGUGAAACUGCUUAGAUAGUAAAUAGGUGGCAUUCCUAAAAGAAGUAAAGCUAGACAUGGACCAGCUUUUGCUUCUUCCUAUAUAUCUGCCCUUAAUAUUUGUGGACUUUUUGUUAUAAGUGAAUUUAAUGAGUGUCAUUCUGCACAUUUACUAAGUAAGGCAACAGGCACUGUGCAUAUUGGUCUGUGCUCAGAUAAAAUUUCAGUUAAAAUAUAUAUAUGAAUAACCAAAUAUACUCACUACAAGAGCACAUUAAAAAAUGGAAAACAAAAAAACACUCUGUUGAAUACUGUCUGGCUCUGUUUUGUGAAGGCCUUCCCAAAUCCUCUCCUAUCUUCACAAAAUCAGGAUAGUAUAUUCUCUUAUGUCUUAGCAAAAUAAAAAUGAUACCUGGCAUUUCAUCUGCUUAGUUGGCUCUGCUGUUAAGGGAUUUAAUUCCUCUCAGCAGAUAUACAAAUGAGAACAUUUGUCUUAGUCCUAGAGACAGAAUCAUUUAUGUUACACUGCUUUGCAUUAUGUUAAUAAUUUCUAUCCUAAGUGAAGUCACAGGAAGUGUUUGUCACUAUCUCCAAUGGGACUCAAAUUUAUUUGAUGUAUGUUUAGUAUAUAUAAAGUUCAGUCAUUUCACUAGAGUUCUUAUAUUCAUAAUGGAUAACAUUUUUCUCCAAUGCUUUUUUGAAAGGAGGAAAAAAAUUGCAUGCAUGCAUAUUCAUAAAAUACUACCACAGAAGAAUUAGAAUUGUGUACAAUUUGAAAGAGUGCUGAAUUACAGGUGGGGUUAAAACAACUUCACAUUAGUGAAAUAUCGUAUGGUGGCUUUCAUUAUUGAUUCUCUGUCAACAUCACGUUAGUUCUUUUCUAAAUCAGUUCUGUGGCUUGAACUUGAAAAGACCAUGAUGCGGAGUCCACAGGUUCAUUCUAAUUGCUCCUUUUCCUGGUAGACUCCACUGUGCCAGCCUGUCACUCAUCAAGACCAUUUGUCUGUGAACAGACUUAAUUAAGCACCUCAAAUCCAAUUUCUUUGAUCUUUUACACUAUUAAGGAAACACACUCAGUCCAUCAGCUAUGGAGAGUUUUCUAAAGAAAAACCUCCUGAAAACACCCACUGGUGUUAUUCUCCUCUGUUGAAAUAGAAAGUUCAAAAACAAGCAGGUGAAUUAGGAAGGGAAAAUAAAAUAAUUGGAGAGACAACAAAAAAAUUGUUAAAUCCUAAAUAUUCAGAAGAUUUAAGGAGUGAUUUACAGCACUUAUCAACUCUUGCACUUUUUUUCUCUCUCAAGAGAGAAAAAUAUCCAGUAGAGACUUGAUUUAAAUAUAAAUGUUUAGUUACCCUCCUUUCAGAAUUUAGCAGGCAAUUGCAUUUGUUUUUGUGAAAGAGGUAUGCACUUUCAGCAUCCUUUCUCACUGCUCAAAUAUCCAGCACAUUGAUAGAAAUGGUCAGGUGGAAACACUUUAAAAAUAAAUAACCAGAGUUUCAUGAAAAUAAUUCAAGAGCUGCUUUUGGGCUUUUUUAUUAACAUUCUUGCCAUUUACACUGUAUUGACUUAAUUAUUUUCAGAUAAUAUUUACCUGUGUCUACUCUUAUAAUUGCAUCUUAUGCAAAACUGUUUGCAUUCAUAAAAAGAUCUUAUCUCGCAGCUUUGUGACAGAGAUUAUUCUGCACUCAAUGGCUACUCACUGCACCAUCAACCAGAAACCAAAUUCAUAAUAUAGAUUGUUGUGAGUAAUAACUUUUAAGGAUUUUUUAAUAAUUAAUUUAUUAAUAAUGAUUUCAUUCCACACUGGGAAAUAAGUUAUUUGUAUUUUAGAAAAUACUGCUGCUAAAGGUGUUUUUCUGAAAGAAGAUCACUAGCUAUAGUUCAUUCUAUUGUUGUCAGGUAUUUUUCAUGCCUUGUUAGCUAAUUUCCUCUUCUUACUGUCAGUUAAAUAUUUUCCAGAAUUUCAUGGUUAUGGAAUGGAGAUCAGACUUCUGCAGCCAUAUCUGAAGAGCAGCUCCUGUGUGACAAACACUUAACUGGUUAAAGAGUGUUUUACAACUCUACGUAAGGCUGAAUUAACCAGAUAAAUAUUCAGGCCUAAACAUGGUCAUGGUACAAAGUUGAUUUGAAACAGAUAAAAAUUGCUAAUUCGAGCUUUGUGAAAACUUUACACAUAUAUUUGUAUAUAAAAUAUUUAGUUCUCUCUUUAGUUUGAGACUAUUUCUUCUAUUAACAAUUCAUUAUGGUCUAUGUAACAACAUACGUAAAUGAAGUAGAAAUGUCUUCAGUGACUACUGGGAUUGCUCAGUCUGGAGAAGAGGCUCAGAGGAGACCUUAUUGCUCUCUAUAGCUACCUGAAGGGAGGAUGUCGUGAGCUGGAGGUCGGCCUCUUCUCUCAUGUAACUAGUGAUAGGACUAGAGGGAAUGGCCUCAAGUUACUCCAGGGAAGAGUCUGGCGGGACAUUAGGAAAUACUACUUUUCUGAAAGAGUCAUCAGGUGCUGGAAUGGGCUGCCACCCAGAGAGAUGGCGGAGUCACCAGCCCCGGAGGUGUUCAAGGAAUGUUUAGACGCUGUGUUGAGGGACAUAGUUUAGUGAGAACUAUUGGUGAUAGGUGGACAGUUGGACUGGAUGAUCUUGUAGGUCUUUUCCAAUCUUAGCGAUUCUAUGAUUCCAUACUUCAUUGUAUACUACGAUUAUAACUAUCCUCAGACAAAAAAAAAUUAUGUGGCAAAUGUAGUACAUUUCCUAUGUUCCUUUUAGAAGCACUUUUUUGUCCUUCAGAAAACAAAAAUCAGAUUUAUUUUAGAGUUUACUUUUCUUAAAUUCCUAUCAGAUAAGACAGAUAUUUAUGCUAGAAAGUAGUAUAGAGUUUAUUUAAUUACUUUUCCAGUUUCUAUUCUCUAUUCUAUUUCAGUUCUCUCUCAGAAUAUAAGGUACAUUUGGAAGUUUGAAGAACUGUAGGACAAAACUUAUGAUGAAAGCUGAAAACUGGCAUUAGAUUUUAUUAAAUAAAUCAUCACUGCAAGAAGGUAGAAAUAAUCCUGAGCAAUGCUGUAAAUUCCACGUAGUCUCAAUUUGUUCUCACUUCAUUUUGCAGUAGUAUUCACAUGUGCUAGCUCAUAAGAGUUGAUAUCACUGUUAGUUAUUGCUGUGCUUUCUUCUAAUUACCACCAAAUUGUGACCACAGCAAACUACAUAUGUUUUUUAAAAUAUCACUCUUUUAGUUCUUCAUCCUUGAUGCAAACAUGAUGAGAAAUGUAUCUAUGCUUAUUAGGUGUCUUACAGCAAGGCAAAGUUACCCAUAUUAAGUCUCAGGAGAUAGGACUUUCUUCUGACCCAGAUAUUUACAAAACUGGAAGUCAAAGUACAGCAACAUGAGCAAUUGGACAAGUCAUCAGUAAGAGCUAAUGAGAAACUGUGUAAAAUGACAUAAUUCUAUUGGAUACUGAGAUGGUAUCAUUAGUAUGUAUUAAAAGACUCAGAGAGGGUUAAAUUAAGAAAUGAUGUGCCACUUUUCAUUAUCCCAAGGAAGUCCUGUAUACAGUAUAUCAUUAGAAACUAUUUACUGAAGCAAAAUAUCAAGCACACAUUGUGUAUCUCUUGAAUCAAGAUGUCAUAAAUAAAUAUUUUCAAGACAAAAUAAGCAAACUUGCACUUCAGUAGGCCAUGAAUCUGACCUCUUUAUCAUGUACUUCAAAAUAAAAUCACUGACUUCUUUUUUUUAACAGCCUUUGCUCACCAUCCACUAGAAUUUUCUGACAAAAAUCCCCACAAGGGCUCUGAGUUAAGGCGGGCUGAGCUAGCUGACACAACCAACUCUGAUUUCCAUUCAGUAUUCAGCUAGUUCCAGUCACCAAAGGGUCUUAAAUUAAGGUAACAUGAGAUAAGAGGGAAGAUCCUCACUGGGAUAACUAACUAAGAGAUUGGAAACAAAGAGCUUCAAUAAAUGGUCAAUUUUCUCAGUGAAUAGAAGGCACCAGUGGUAUCCCACAGGGAUCUUCACUGGGGCCAAAGCUGCUCGACAUGCUCGGGGCUGAUCAGGAGAACAGAAUGGAGAGCAGAUUAAGUUUGCUGUUGCUACCAAGUUUUCAUGGUAAGAAAAACAGAAACUGACUGCUAAAAAGAGAGUUGAAGAAAGACUCUGUGGCACUGAGUGAUUGGGGAUAAAAUGGCAGACGACAUUCAGACUACACAAAUGUAAAGUAAUGAACUUGGCAAAAAACAGCUCAUGCUGUGCCCAGUGAUUGAUUCUGAAUUCACUGCUACAUCAGACAAAAUAACAGCCUUAUGAAAAUAUCAGUUCAGUAGCUCAGGAAUCAUUAUCAGAGGAAAAUCUCAGAAAAUGUAAUGUUUUUGUGCAAAGUCAAUGCUAUGAUCAUAUCUUGAUUGUUAUGUAUAAUUCUGGUCCUUUCAUCUAGAAAAAGCACAGAGUAGAAUUUGAAAAAAAGGUGGACAAAGAUGAUCAAAGGUAACCAAAUAACUCACACAGAAGGGUGAUCUGUAAGAGCUGGGGCUCUCAAUCUAGAAAAGAGCCAACACAGAAGCACGUAAAAAUCACAGCAGACAAAUAGGAGAAUAAGGGAUAAACGAGCUGCCUCUUGCAUUGCAACAGGAAAGCCUCAGCUGGAAAUGAGCAUGUGGAAGUUCAACAUCAAAAACCAGACUGUGCACAGCUCAGUCAAACCUCUCUAAGCCUUGGCCAGUGAACAUCACUGAGUUGUGAAGAUUAUUCAUUUUAAAGAUCAAAGUGAACAAUUGCUUGAAGAAGCUCCAACUAAGUCCAUUAACAUUCCUUUUCCUGGGAAUCUCUUUUUGUACAAAGCUCAAAAUCCAGCCAAAAUCAUCAUGCAUUCAAGUGAUCAAUGAAUGAGCACUACAUACGGCAAUGAGGUAAAUGUUUGGGAAUGACAAAAACUAGGUAAGUAAGAAAAGGUACACUGCUCUCCUAUUAGCACAUUUCACAUUAGAGAAGGAUUCCAAGCAGCUUAAAAACAGAAAAUUAUGCCACAAUUUUGCAGAAUAAGAAAAAAUCACUGCAUUGCUAAGAGAAGUUUAAGUGUUGCAUGCAAAUCUUCACGACAAUUGAUUCGUAAGUAUGUUUUACUGCUCUGUUGUUGUGUUGUUCUCACUGGCAUUAAUUUGUGUUUUCCCGGGUAACUUAGAAUAAAAAAAUGACUACAGGUAAAAGAUUAGAAGGUAAAGAUUAGAGUUCUUUUUCCAACAUGAAUCCUGCCCUUUAUCAUUUAUGGAUAAGGCGGUGUUGCUCAACAAACAGCAUGGGCAUUAGCAGGUUAAUGAGCACAUACUCAAUGUUUUUGCACACCGUCUGAUGCUUGCUGUACAAAAUGCAAACUGUGAAACAAAAUGUAAUAAUUAGUUUUGUCUAUGUUAUUCUAGAGAACUCAUCACUAUGGUAUCUAAUUUAUUCACAAACAAAUUAAUUUUCACCAUGCUCCUCAGGGACAAGCAGGGCCAAAGUGCUGAAAGUAGUCAGUGUUAUAUUAGGAGGCAGCCUUCAUCCAAUAAUUUCCUUGCUUCUGAGUGCUGGAUUUUGAAGCCAUAAGCACAAGUUUCUGAUUCGAUAAACACAAGGUUUUUGAUGCUUAGAUUCUAAUGUGUGUGUGUUUAUUUUUCAAGGCAAUGAAGUUUAUAUUCAUUUCAUGAUCAUUUGCCACUUGAUUACAUGGAGUUAACUCACAGAGGAACUGCCUUUCCAAAGUUUCCCAGUCAAACUUGUAAUGAAUACUCCCCUCAUUUUGACUGAACUAUUUUGCUUUUUAAGAGAAGAGAAGGCAUGAACAUCACAACUUUCUGAUCAGAAUUUUCUGCUCAACUUCAGGACGAUACAAAUACUGGUCCUAUUAAUUUGUAAUUGAUUUAGAAGAUAAUCUUCAACAUUUACAAACUGCCAGUGAAAAUAGCGUAAGGUUCUGACUGCUACAAGUAUAUACCUAAAUUUAAAAAUCUUGCCUCUGUAGUUGAUAUUAUUGAACUUCUCUGUACUAAGUUGUCAUCAAUUGCAUCUAUAAUGUAACUUAUUCCUAAGUAUUCUUUUUGCUAAAGAAAGGAACCCACUGAAAGACAAAACACUCACAUCAUCCUUAGCACUUGAGUGCCAGCACAUUUUCCUGUGUGCCUGGUUAAUAGUAUUUCUUUCCCGGAAAAAAAAAAAAAAAAAAAAAAAAGGAAUAAAAAUAUAAACAUACACUAGAUUUGCACAACGUACAGUAUGAAAUUUAGUUUUAAAGGCCUGUUUUCCAGUCCCUGUUAUAGCAACUUAACAUGAUCCUAAUUUUUUAUGUUUUUUAAAUCUAAUAAACUAAAUCCCUGAAAAUAUGGUAGAACACAAAGGUCUUCUAGCUUAAAGCAUCCAUUAGUCAAUCAGUUUUGCUUUGCUGGGUAAACAGUCUUACCUUUUUGAAAACAAGGAAGUUUAUGUUAUAAACUCCUCUUGAGAGAGCAGUCAUUACUACAAUUACAUUUGACCUUUGUUGCUUCAAUUCCAGGGAAAAUAAUCGCAAUUCACAGAGUUAAUUAAAAAUACACAAUGCUGCAGAAAAAAAAGAAAAGAAAACUGUUUGAAAAUAGGCAAAAUUGUAUUCAGUAUCUAAAGCUCCAGGUGCAUCUAUUUCUUAGAUGAUUAGAUAAUUUUAAAGUAUCUCUGCUGUUGUAAUUACAGAAGUAGUUAUUAUUCUGCAGUUUCUCAGUUUUUUAGCCACUUGAAUACUAUGGUUUUAUUCUUCUGUAAAAAUCACAUCUGUUGACAAAUUAAGUGUUCCAUAGACUGGCCUGAACUGGAACUCCACUAUUUGCAUGUCACAGUUUUUCCAGAUACUUAAGUGUAUGUGCUUGUGUAUCUGCGUACACAAAUAGAUAUACAAGUUCUCUAUGUUCACCUUGAAACUUAACCGUUAGGUUUAAUGUAGACUCCAAUGCAAUGCAACACUAAAAUACUCAAUUUGCUUUCUCUUAAGAGAUUUAAAAAUAUAAGAAUAUGAAUUAUCUAUCUGCCCUAUUUGUGGAGGCUCCUGACUAUUUUGUAACUUUAUAAACAAUAAAUUCUAAAGUAACAAAUACAAGAGUUACAGCCAAAGGGUUUAGUCACAAUUGUGAUCUUGAUAACCAUGUUCACUUGAUAAACCAGAUACAGUGCUUGUCAAGGAAAUUUAUAACUACAUACUGUGUGCACUAUAUCAAAGGGCAGUGCACUCACAGGACUCUAAUGAGGAAGUAAACAAUGCUGAGGGUCAGAUCAGUAGGCUGCAACACGCUGCUCUCCACAGAGAAAAUAAUGGCUGAAUUAAAUCCUGUAUUUGGUAGCAGCGCCACAUGAAGGAACAUAUUUUACUCUUUAGACAUAUAAGCUGUUCUAGAAAACCAUUUCCUGGCUUAUUGUCACACAGGUCUUCUAUUGAUCACAACAAAAACAACACUGUGAUUGAUCCUUCUUGCUGUAGUAUUUCCAAUAUGCUCAUAAACUAAAAGUCCAGGUACCAUUUAUGUUGAAGUUAAUGGGACGAUAUGCUUGAGCCUAGGUUACUCAAUCUAUGUACAGUUUAAUAGAACAGAGUCUAACCUCUUUAUGUCUACUGGUUUUGCUGCAAUGGAACAGAUUACUUAAAUAGUACUGCAGAUAAAAAUACUACUUGAUAAUGCUGCUUAGAUAAACCUUUCACAGUGUAUUCACAUCUCCACUGAAUCAUACUGACCAUGUAAGUUUUUACUUCCUGGCUCUAGGAGAAGAGUGGCUGUCAUAUUUAUCACCACUGUGUUCAAUGUCCAACCUUUGUUAUUUCAAGCCCUGUCUCCUUUCCUAUCAGGCUGUGCUCCAUGUCACGUAUUUAUGCUUCUCCUUGAGCUUCACUGUGAUAACUGAGAGGUUUUUAUUCCUCUUAAGAGUUUAGCUCUCCUGUUGAGACACAUCCUAGGCAAACAUGCAACCUUUUCUCUAAAUAAAACCAGUCUUUGCUUGAUCGAACUUAGCACAUUAGCAUGAAACUCAACCAGAAAUGGAAAUUCAGGAGGAAAAAGAAGGAAAAAAAAACACCAGCAAACAAACAAACGAAAAUGCAUACCGUGUAGUUAUCAAUAAAGCGACCACUUUACUCUUGUAUAUUCCUUAAAUCUGUGCUUAGUUCUCUGAACCUGAUGUACAUAUGCAGUUCCCUGCUUUUCUGCUGCAAGGAACCAUUUGACAGGGACAGCCAUGUAGCUCCUUUUAGGUGUGCAACAUGAAGUGCUGCUAGAAGGAAAGACAAACCACCUUCAUCAGCAGCGUAAGGCUAAUCUCUUUCUCAAGAUCUCCAAGCUCUGUGAUGCUUAGGAAACAAAGCUGAGAAAAUAAAGUUAAUAUUGAAAAUCUAAUUUUUUCUUGGUUAAAUAAAAGGAGGAAGUACAGAAAAUGGCAGGAAUGCCAGAUAACAUCCAACGGGUACUCAUGUGCAUACCUUCAUUAAUGCAUUCUCAGGACAUAAAAAAGCAGUAGCAAAUGCAAAUGGUAUGUACAGCACAGCCUUGAUUUGAAUGGAAAGGUGCAAGGCAGCCAUAAUUUCAUGUAAGUUCUAUGAAAUGAUAUAUGGCUUCAGGAUCUUCUGACUGACCAGUAAAAGAGAGGACUUCUAAUUUCUUUCAAUCUAUCUGUCAAAAAUCCAACCCUGUAAUUAUAUGUGGAGCAGUGGGAGUGUGGAAAUGAAAAUAAGGAAAGGAGAAGAAUUGCGCAGAGAAAAAAGAAUUGAAGCAAAUGUGGAGUGGAAUUGCUUGCAAUUUUACCAUAAGUUAAAGGAUUUUAUUCAGCAGUACACUGUAAUUUUAAUUCUGUUUUUCCUGCCAUAUACCAACUCUUGAAGAAGUUACAGAAACAAUGGGAAUUAUCGUCAUAUUCAAUUCCACCCUGAAACAAACUCCUUCACUUUUAGCUAAAUUCAGAGGUGAGAAAAAUAGACAGCUCUCCAACAUUAGUUUCACUUUUUAUUCAUUUGUUUCAACACUUCGUGUAUAUUUUUAGUAAAAUCAUAUUUGGCCUCAACCUUACGAAUUUUAAAUAACAUUGAAGCACCGUCCCAGUUGUUUUUUACAGGCUAGAUAUGAUGAGGAUCCCAAGUAUUCCUGUUAACCAAGAAUAAACUCUAGGAAUUGGAAAACAGUCCAAGUCUUGGUCUGCAGCAUUAGGUUUAUUUGCAGAGAAAUUCAACUGUAUUAACAAUUCCUCCAAUACUCUGUGGCUCUGAUGAACAUUUCAGGGAAGGUAGUGUGUAUGUUUUCACUUUUUCUUAUACAAUGGAAACAGCAGUCCUUUCAUCAAGCACAAACUACAGUACUCAUGACAUGUGGCUAUCCCCAGCCCAAAAUACAUGUCAGGGAAGGGCAGUCAGAAAGGACAGGAGAACAUUAACAUGUGAAGAAAUCCCUCCCAAGCAGAAAAGGGCAAUGCUGGAUGUGAAUAUAUGAUUAUUAAAACCGCUGGAAUGUCAAAUGUAGAACUGACUAACUUCAGGUGAGAAAAUAACUCUUUUCUGGUAACUUCACUGUUUCAAAAAAGAGUGUGAGACUUGAGAAUCAAAUUGAAAUUAGGGUAUUUUACCAGUAAUUAAUCUUGAGCAGAUUUUUCCAAACAGUGUGAAUCUUCGGUUAAAUUCCCAACUUCUUCAGUUUGUCUUUACGCUGUUAAUCUUUUUCUUUUUUCUUAGAACACCAACUCAUGGUGGCAGUUAGGAAGGAUGCAAUAGUGAUUUAAAAAAAAACUAAAAUCCAUGUAUACGUAUACUUGGAAAGCACAUCGUCAGCUAAUAAUUUUGAUUGUAUUUUAAACUUGAUCUGAAAGCAAGGGCCAUUCCUUUGAAGUAAAGAAACUUGUUGACUACAAGACCAAUCCAGUUUGCUGACAACAAAUUUUGAGCUGAUAGUCUUUGCUCAUGACAAAAUCCAUGCACACACAAUCUGUACAUUAAAUAUUAUUUGGAAUGGAAUUUUAAAUAAAUGCAAGGAAAUUGAAAGUUCUAUAUAAAUCAGCCUACAAGGAAUAAAAUAUUUAUAAUAUACUUGUCUCUAAUAAUUCACUGGUUUCUUUUUUUAGUCAUUAUGUACAUUAUUCCCAGAAUUGAAUCUGAUACAAUACGUCUGACAAAGGGAUUCAUAGCAAAAUGGUGCUACAGCUGCUUCUUUUAAACUCACCUAAUUAUAAGCUCCAGAUGUCUUUCCUUUCUGGAGACUCAAAGACAACUCUAAUUUUAUUCACACAUACUGCUUGUCUAGGAUCAGGCUACACUGCAAUUCUCUUCUACCUAGAAAACAGAACUUUGUUUACAUUUGCAUCGUUGUACGUUCUUUUGAUUUUUCUAGUUUUUUCUGAUAUGCAUAAAAAUACUGUAUAUUCAUGCUAUGAAUAUAAAUAUAUUCAGAACGGCUGCAAAACACCACAAAGAAUUAUUGUCUUAAAGCUGGCACUGAUUUCAAGCAUAUAGAACACUCACUACUAACAACCAGCAUUGCUAAGGAUCAGGGGUAAAUUGACCUGAUAAACAUCCCAAAUGAAUCACUUAAUUUCAGCAUCACACUUGAGUGGGAAAAUGCAUUCGUUCUUCUACAACAGAACUACUUUUGGACAAUGUAUAGGAAAAGUUAAUUCCAUAAACAACAUGCAAACUGCUUUUUUUUUUUUUUCAUCUUAAUUUAGAUGAGCUUAUUUUACAUGCAAAAAAAAAAAAAAAAAAAAAAAAGAAUGCAGCUUUCACUAAAACGUCAAUAUACAGCAUGUUCUUUGCUGACAAACAAUGGAAUAGUCCAUACAUCAAAUGUAUGGACUGGCUCUUCUCCUUCCUCGAUUUCAGUUAGUUCCACAAAGACAAAAAUGUUG
ensembl:lncRNA